rnacentral:rRNA from 1 species
UACGUAGGGUGCAAGCGUUAAUCGGAAUUACUGGGCGUAAAGGGCUCGUAGGCGGCCAACUAAGUCGGACGUGAAAUCCCCAGGCUCAACCUGGGAACUGCGUCCGAUACUGGAUGGCUUGAAUCCGGGAGAGGGAUGCAGAAUUCCAGGUGUAGCGGUGAAAUGCGUAGAUAUCUGGAGGAACACCGGUGGCGAAGGCGACAUCCUGGACCGGUAUUGACGCUGAGGCUCGAAAGCCAGGGGGAGCAAACGGG